AUCCAAGGAAGGCAGCAGGCGCGCAAAUUACCCACUCCCGGCACGGGGAGGUAGUGACGAAAAAUAACGAUACGGGACUCAUCCGAGGCCCCGUAAUCGGAAUGAGUACACUCUAAACCCUUUAACGAGGAUCAAUUGGAGGGCAAGUCUGGUGCCAGCAGCCGCGGUAAUUCCAGCUCCAAUAGCGUAUAUUAAAGUUGUUGCGGUUAAAAAGCUCGUAGUCGAAUCUGUGUCCCGCGCCGCUGGUUCAUCGUACGCGGUGUCAACUGGCGUGCCGCGGGACGUCCUGCCGGUGGGCUUAGCCCGAAAGGGCGGCCCAACUCAAUCCCGCCGCGGUGCUCUUCAUUGAGUGUCGAGGUGGGCCGGCACGUUUACUUUGAACAAAUUAGAGUGCUUAAAGCAGGCUAAAACUUCGCCUGAAUACUGUGUGCAUGGAAUAAUGGAAUAGGACCUCGGUUCUAUUUUGUUGGUUUUCGGAACCCCGAGGUAAUGAUUAAUAGGAACGGAUGGGGGCAUUCGUAUUGCGACGUUAGAGGUGAAAUUCUUGGAUCGUCGCAAGACGGACAGAAGCGAAAGCAUUUGCCAAAAACGCUUUCAUUGAUCAAGAACGAAAGUUAGAGUUUCGAAGGCGAUCAGAUACCGCCCUAGUUCUAACCAUAAACGAUGCCAGCUAGCGAUCCGCCGACGUUCCUCCGAUGACUCGGCGGGCAGCUUCCGGGAANCCAAAGCUUUUGGGUUCCNGGGGGAAGUAUGGUUGCAAAGCUGAAACUUAAAGGAAUUGACGGAAGGGCACCACCAGGAGUGGAGCCUGCGGCUUAAUUUGACUCAACACGGGAAACCUCACCAGGCCCGGACACCGGAAGGAUUGACAGAUUGAGAGCUCUUUCUUGAUUCGGUGGGUGGUGGUGCAUGGCCGUUCUUAGUUGGUGGAGCGAUUUGUCUGGUUAAUUCCGAUAACGAACGAGACUCUAGCCUGCUAACUAGGCGUAUUUCGACAUCCCAAAGGCCCGCCGGUGUGGGGUUUCGGCUCCUGCUGCGCGCGGUUUUUACUGUCGGCGUACAAACAAUUCUUCUUAGAGGGACAGGCGGCUUCUAGCCGCACGAGAUUGAGCAAUAACAGGUCUGUAAUGCCCUUAGAUGUUCUGGGCCGCACGCGCGCUACACUGAAGGAAUCAGCGUGUCCUCCCUGGCCGAGCGGCCCGGGUAACCCGCUGAACCUCCUUCGUGCUAGGGAUUGGGGCUUGCAAUUGUUCCCCAUGAACGAGGAAUUCCCAGUAAGCGCGAGUCAUAAGCUCGCGUUGAUUACGUCCCUGCCCUUUGUACACACCGCCCGUCGCUACUACCGAUUGAAUGAUUUAGUGAGGUCUUCGGACUGAGCGCGGUGGCGUUUCGGCGUCGUCGAUGCUUCGGAAAGAUGACCAAACUUGAUCAUUUAGAGGAAGUAAAAGUCGUAACA
rnacentral:rRNA from 1 species